GGUUAAGCGACUAAGCGUACACGGUGGAUGCCCUGGCAGUCAGAGGCGAUGAAGGACGUGCUAAUCUGCGAUAAGCGUCGGUAGGGUGAUAUGAACCGUUAUAACCGGCGAUUUCCGAAUGGGGAAACCCAGUGUGUUUCGACACACUAUCAUUAACUGAAUCCAUAGGUUAAUGAGGCGAACCGGGGGAACUGAAACAUCUAAGUACCCCGAGGAAAAGAAAUCAACCGAGAUUCCCCCAGUAGCGGCGAGCGAACGGGGAGCAGCCCAGAGCCUGAAUCAGUGUGUGUGUUAGUGGAAGCGUCUGGAAAGGCGCGCGAUACAGGGUGACAGCCCCGUACACAAAAAUGCACAUGCUGUGAGCUCGAUGAGUAGGGCGGGACACGUGGUAUCCUGUCUGAAUAUGGGGGGACCAUCCUCCAAGGCUAAAUACUCCUGACUGACCGAUAGUGAACCAGUACCGUGAGGGAAAGGCGAAAAGAACCCCGGCGAGGGGAGUGAAAAAGAACCUGAAACCGUGUACGUACAAGCAGUGGGAGCACGCUUAGGCGUGUGACUGCGUACCUUUUGUAUAAUGGGUCAGCGACUUAUAUUCUGUAGCAAGGUUAACCGAAUAGGGGAGCCGAAGGGAAACCGAGUCUUAACUGGGCGUUAAGUUGCAGGGUAUAGACCCGAAACCCGGUGAUCUAGCCAUGGGCAGGUUGAAGGUUGGGUAACACUAACUGGAGGACCGAACCGACUAAUGUUGAAAAAUUAGCGGAUGACUUGUGGCUGGGGGUGAAAGGCCAAUCAAACCGGGAGAUAGCUGGUUCUCCCCGAAAGCUAUUUAGGUAGCGCCUCGUGAAUUCAUCUCCGGGGGUAGAGCACUGUUUCGGCAAGGGGGUCAUCCCGACUUACCAACCCGAUGCAAACUGCGAAUACCGGAGAAUGUUAUCACGGGAGACACACGGCGGGUGCUAACGUCCGUCGUGAAGAGGGAAACAACCCAGACCGCCAGCUAAGGUCCCAAAGUCAUGGUUAAGUGGGAAACGAUGUGGGAAGGCCCAGACAGCCAGGAUGUUGGCUUAGAAGCAGCCAUCAUUUAAAGAAAGCGUAAUAGCUCACUGGUCGAGUCGGCCUGCGCGGAAGAUGUAACGGGGCUAAACCAUGCACCGAAGCUGCGGCAGCGACACUAUGUGUUGUUGGGUAGGGGAGCGUUCUGUAAGCCUGUGAAGGUGUGCUGUGAGGCAUGCUGGAGGUAUCAGAAGUGCGAAUGCUGACAUAAGUAACGAUAAAGCGGGUGAAAAGCCCGCUCGCCGGAAGACCAAGGGUUCCUGUCCAACGUUAAUCGGGGCAGGGUGAGUCGACCCCUAAGGCGAGGCCGAAAGGCGUAGUCGAUGGGAAACAGGUUAAUAUUCCUGUACUUGGUGUUACUGCGAAGGGGGGACGGAGAAGGCUAUGUUGGCCGGGCGACGGUUGUCCCGGUUUAAGCGUGUAGGCUGGUUUUCCAGGCAAAUCCGGAAAAUCAAGGCUGAGGCGUGAUGACGAGGCACUACGGUGCUGAAGCAACAAAUGCCCUGCUUCCAGGAAAAGCCUCUAAGCAUCAGGUAACAUCAAAUCGUACCCCAAACCGACACAGGUGGUCAGGUAGAGAAUACCAAGGCGCUUGAGAGAACUCGGGUGAAGGAACUAGGCAAAAUGGUGCCGUAACUUCGGGAGAAGGCACGCUGAUAUGUAGGUGAAGUCCCUCGCGGAUGGAGCUGAAAUCAGUCGAAGAUACCAGCUGGCUGCAACUGUUUAUUAAAAACACAGCACUGUGCAAACACGAAAGUGGACGUAUACGGUGUGACGCCUGCCCGGUGCCGGAAGGUUAAUUGAUGGGGUUAGCCGCAAGGCGAAGCUCUUGAUCGAAGCCCCGGUAAACGGCGGCCGUAACUAUAACGGUCCUAAGGUAGCGAAAUUCCUUGUCGGGUAAGUUCCGACCUGCACGAAUGGCGUAAUGAUGGCCAGGCUGUCUCCACCCGAGACUCAGUGAAAUUGAACUCGCUGUGAAGAUGCAGUGUACCCGCGGCAAGACGGAAAGACCCCGUGAACCUUUACUAUAGCUUGACACUGAACAUUGAGCCUUGAUGUGUAGGAUAGGUGGGAGGCUUUGAAGUGUGGACGCCAGUCUGCAUGGAGCCGACCUUGAAAUACCACCCUUUAAUGUUUGAUGUUCUAACGUUGACCCGUAAUCCGGGUUGCGGACAGUGUCUGGUGGGUAGUUUGACUGGGGCGGUCUCCUCCUAAAGAGUAACGGAGGAGCACGAAGGUUGGCUAAUCCUGGUCGGACAUCAGGAGGUUAGUGCAAUGGCAUAAGCCAGCUUGACUGCGAGCGUGACGGCGCGAGCAGGUGCGAAAGCAGGUCAUAGUGAUCCGGUGGUUCUGAAUGGAAGGGCCAUCGCUCAACGGAUAAAAGGUACUCCGGGGAUAACAGGCUGAUACCGCCCAAGAGUUCAUAUCGACGGCGGUGUUUGGCACCUCGAUGUCGGCUCAUCACAUCCUGGGGCUGAAGUAGGUCCCAAGGGUAUGGCUGUUCGCCAUUUAAAGUGGUACGCGAGCUGGGUUUAGAACGUCGUGAGACAGUUCGGUCCCUAUCUGCCGUGGGCGCUGGAGAACUGAGGGGGGCUGCUCCUAGUACGAGAGGACCGGAGUGGACGCAUCACUGGUGUUCGGGUUGUCAUGCCAAUGGCACUGCCCGGUAGCUAAAUGCGGAAGAGAUAAGUGCUGAAAGCAUCUAAGCACGAAACUUGCCCCGAGAUGAGUUCUCCCUGACUCCUUGAGAGUCCUGAAGGAACGUUGAAGACGACGACGUUGAUAGGCCGGGUGUGUAAGCGCAGCGAUGCGUUGAGCUAACCGGUACUAAUGAACCGUGAGGCUUAACCUU
rnacentral:rRNA from 1 species